CCCGCGCCGCCCGGAGGAAACGGGAAACGUCUCUCUGGGCAGGAAUGAGGUGGGGGCUGCUGGUCCGCAAGACCCCCACCCCGGCUGCUCUCCGAGAGGGCGUGGCUCAGAGGAGCAUCUUGCUGCUGCCUGAGGGCAGGAUGACUCAGGUGCGGUGAUUGGAGAUUGUGCAAGUCUGAAUGUGCCUGGCCGCCCCCCGCCUCCCCGCAGCACAGCCUCGAGUCCUCCCUGAAUAGAAACCGUUGUGCAGAUGAAUGGGGAAUUUACUAGAGAAAAACUAGAGGAAGCAAGACAGAAAUGCAGAGUGAAAUCAUGCUAUCGCCUGUAUCCGCAGGGAACUCAUCAAGAGCAAAACCAACACUAGUAAAACUAGUGAUCAUGGAGUGAGAUAUGAAAGGUGUUUGAAUCCCUACCCCAGGAAUCUGUUAACCACCAAAUGCGGGUGAAAACCUCAGCCAGCUGUCUUCUCUUCCUCUGCACUUCCUACUGCUUAUUUCGUUUGGACAUAUACAGCAUGGAGUUUAUCUACGUUUGUGUUCUCAGAGGAAGGUGGUGACAAGAUGCGCAGGGUGGUGGUCAUUAAUAUCUACUUUGGGUCAGCCCCCUGUUCCAGGACAA